rnacentral:rRNA from 1 species
UACGAAGGGAGCUAGCGUUGUUCGGAAUCACUGGGCGUAAAGCGCACGUAGGCGGAUUUGCCAGUCAGGGGUGAAAUCCCGGGGCUCAACCUCGGAACUGCCUUUGAUACAGCAAGUCUUGAGUUCGAGAGAGGUGGGUGGAAUUCCUAGUGUAGAGGUGAAAUUCGUAGAUAUUAGGGAGAACACCGGUGGCGAAGGCGGCCCACUGGCUCGACACUGACGCUGAGGUGCGAAAGCGUGGGGAGCAAACAGG